rnacentral:lncRNA from 1 species
UAAAAUGAUCUAAACUCUAAAUAACUUGAUUUUAAAAUAAUUUAGACAAAAAACUUAAGAUGAUGGACUCAAAAAACUUCAAACCUCAAGCAUAAAAAUGCCAAUCCAACCCAAUCCUAAACCUAAUUUGAACAAAAAAGAACUGAAAUAAUUGAAAAUGAGCCGAUCCAAAUUAACAAGAUCUAAAACUAACCUGACACACGCAUUGACAAGUCUAGCUCAAACCCACUUCCUUUUUAAGGGUCCUACCAUGGAAAUUAAGAUGGUCGAUUUCAUGGACAAUGUUAUUACAACGCCUGCAUUUAGGAUUGAACUGAUGAUGGCCGGUUUCAAGUUGUGUGGUUGACUAGAGAUUGGAGGUUGCUGUUGAAUAUGAUAGACUGGCUUUCCUUUCCUUUGAAGUUAUCGUUGUUAUUGGCGUUUGUCGAGUUGCGGGACAUUUGCAUAUGUGUGCUUUUUGAGUUUCCUUUUUUUUUUUUAACUGAGCUUUCAAUGAUCUGAGUUUGAUCCCUUAAAAAGCCAUCUUUGGUGGAAAACAAAGCCUGAAGCCUUUUUGGACCAAGCAUCAGUAUCUCAAUCAUUUCUAGGUGAUCAGGUUUAGUAUGUGUGUAUGUUGGAUUGGGUGGUUCACAGAAAUUGAAAAG